CCUGGCUGUUCCCACCUCAAACCACUUCUUAGCUUCAUUUGUUCUCAUAACAAAAGGAUAGCCCUUCCUCCUCUGGAGGCCUGGGCAUCAGCAAGUCGGAUGGCAGUGGAAGGUGGAGAAAUGGAAUCCUGCUGGGGGCUCAGGAGGCCUGCCCCCUGAUGCUGCCGUGCACUGCAGAUGUCCUUGAUGAAGAGAAUGAAUGGAAGCUGUCUUUCUCAAUGGCAAAAGGGCAUACUGCUGUUAUUGUCAGUGAGGGGUCAGUAGUUUAA
rnacentral:lncRNA from 1 species